UGUGAACUCACUACCCACACAUGCUACACUGACUCUCUUACACUGGCUCUAUGUGAACUCACUACCCACACAUGCUACACUGACUCUCUUACACUGGCUCUAUGCGAACUCACUACCCACACAUGCUACACUGACUAUCUUACACUGGCUCUAUGCGAACUCACUACCCACACAUGCUACACUGACUCUCUUACACUGGCUCUAUGUGAACUCACUACCCACACAUGCUACACUGACUCUCUUACACUGGCUCUAUGUGAACUCACUACCCACACAUGCUACAUUGACUCUCUUACACUGGCUCUAUGCGAACUCACUACCCACACAUGCUACACUGACUCUCUUACACUGGCUCUAUGUGAACUCACUACCCACACAUGCUACACUGACUCUCUUACACUGGCUCUAUGUGAACUCACUACCCACACAUGCUACACUGACUCUCUUACACUGGCUCUAUGUGAACUCACUACCCACACAUGCUACACUGACUCUCUUACACUGGCUCUAUGUGAACUCACUACCCACACAUGCUACACUGACUCUCUUACGCUGGCUCUAUGCGAACUCACUACCCACACAUGCUACACUGACUCUCUUACACUGGCUCUAUGUGAACUCACUACCCACACAUGCUACACUGACUCUCUUACACUGGCUCUAUGUGAACUCACUACCCACACAUGCUACACUGACUCUCUUACGCUGGCUCUAUGUGAACUCACUACCCACACUUGCUACACCACACACGCUCACACAGACGCAUUUUCCCACUCUCCACAUACACUGCUGCUACCCUGUUUAUUACCUAUCCUGAUUGCCUAGUCACCUUUUACCCCUACCCACAUGUACAAUUACCUCAACUACCUCGUACCCCUGCAUAUUGAAUCAGUGCUGGUACUCCUUGUAUAUAGCCUCGUUGUUGUUACUUUGUGCUACUAUUUCCUUUUUUAUUCCUUACUUUCUAACUCUGCAUGGUUGGGGAAGGGCUCGUAAAGUCAGCAUUUCACAGUAAAGUCUACACCUGUUGUAUUCUGCGUGUGUGACAAAUUAAAGGUGAUUUGAAUCUCACAGUGUGUGUUUGUCCUUCCCUUGGUUUACAGCCCCCUGAAACAUGAAGAAAAAGGGGCCAGAGAGAAAACAACACAGAGGAGAGAAUCUGUUCCAACAUGCAGAGCCAGAGAAAAACAGGGUCGACACAAACACACAAUUCUCCUCAAACACGAUGGCUGAGCAUUGGCUCCGGGCCUCACUAGAGACGCAUCAUGUUGACGGGUUUAUUCCCCUGGCGGCCAGUGAUUCUGAGCGCAACACCGAAGCGCUGCGUGUCACAGUCCAAACCUCGAUCCACAAGUCUGCCAGAUGCAGCACAGUAACCUUUUUAUUUACCUAACUUAUUCACAGAAACUGACUCUACAGGGACACGACUAUUACUCUCUGAGAAAUACGGCGAAGUAGAAAACCCCACCCUGUUGUCUUAUCCAAACGAGAUAACAUACCGCACAUUACUGAGGAAAACAGUUGACCAGAAGAAAAUGUUGAAAAUGAAAACGUUGUGGUGUGUGUGUUCUCCUCAAAACCACAUACUAUGUUAAAGUUUGCCAAAUUGUUCUGUUAAGGAAGUUUGUUUUUAUUGUUGUGCGUAAUGGUGUGUGAUCUGAGGUAACAUCUAGAAUGGUGUGUUGGUAUAUACUGUCUAUGCAGGUGUUAUUGUAUGGUAUAAUAUGUCCGUGUGAUGUGUCUGUAUGCUGAAUGUUUUUAGUUACAUUUGCUGUGCUUGUAAAAUUGAAUUAUUGAACCUCACGUGACAGAUUUAUUGAAUGUUGUGAAAACCAAGAAACAAAUGGUAAAAUAAAUCAAUAAAAAGACGUUUGUUUUA